rnacentral:rRNA from 16 species
GGGUUGUGAGGUUAAGCGACUAAGCGUACACGGUGGAUGCCCUGGCAGUCAGAGGCGAUGAAGGGCGUGCUAAUCUGCGAUAAGCGCCGGUAAGGUGAUAUGAACCGUUAUAACCGGCGAUACCCGAAUGGGGAAACCCAGUGUGACUCGUCACACUAUCAUUAACU